CCUACGGGAGGCAGCAGUGGGGAAUAUUGGACAAUGGGCGCAAGCCUGAUCCAGCCAUGCCGCGUGAGUGAUGAAGGCCCUAGGGUUGUAAAGCUCUUUCACCGGUGAAGAUAAUGACGGUAACCGGAGAAGAAGCCCCGGCUAACUUCGUGCCAGCAGCCGCGGUAAUACGAAGGGGGCUAGCGUUGUUCGGAUUUACUGGGCGUAAAGCACACGUAGGCGGACUAUUAAGUCAGGGGUGAAAUCCCGGGGCUCAACCCCGGAACUGCCUUUGAUACUGGUAGUCUAGAGUUCGAGAGAGGUGAGUGGAAUUCCGAGUGUAGAGGUAAAAUUCGUAGAUAUUCGGAGGAACACCAGUGGCGAAGGCGGCUCCCUGGCUCGAUACUGACGCUGAGGAACGAGAGCCAGGGGAGCGAACGGGAUUAGAUCCCCGG
rnacentral:rRNA from 1 species